UGAGUAACCUGCCCUUAACUCUGGGAUAAGCCUGGGAAACUGGGUCUAAUACCGGAUAUGACUCCACAUCGCAUGGUGGGGGGUGGAAAGCUUUAUUGUGGUUUGGAUGGACUCGCGGCCUAUCAGCUUGUUGGUGAGGUAAUGGCUCACCAAGGCGACGACGGGUAGCCGGCCUGAGAGGGUGACCGGCCACACUGGGACUGAGACNCGGCCCAGACUCCUACGGGAGCAG
rnacentral:rRNA from 1 species